CUGAGAGAGAAUACCCGAAUGACAUUUCAGUUGACGGUUAUUUGACAGAUGUUUUAUGAGAAAAGCGUUAAAAUAUCGACUGAAACAAUAAGACGAAGGAAACUCAUACAGAUUUGGAACAACCUGACGGUGAAGUACAGGGUUACUGUGGUAACGCAAAAAAGCGCAACACUCCAGACCAAAUUCCAAGGAAACCACUUCCUACAACCGGCUGAACGGGACACGGUUCCGAUCCCAGCGCCUAGAGCUUCUACUGAGGCGAACGCACAAUGAAGGCCUGUCAUCAUCCAGAACCAGAAAAAGUGACCAAUGUUCCCCCUUCCUCUUGACUUUUUUAUUAAAUGAAAUAACCUCUUAAUUACAGUUGGCGUCAGCACAAGGAUACCAGGAAGAGACUUCAUUAAAUGCAUAUGUAGCUUCCACAUGAUGACCGCAAAAGCAGUCUCACCUCAAAAGGAGAAUUUAGACCAAAAGUAUGAAUUUCAGUAGAAAUUCAUGUUAAAUCCAGUCGUGCAUUUGCUGAAAAAUAAAAUUGAGUUUUGUUGAUACUUUGCUGUGUUUGUGGCUUUCUUUACAGUUUUGUUUUGUUUGAUGCAAAAGUGCAUAUGCCGCAUUUUUGUGUAGAAGGCCAGUAGCAUUGAAAAUAUAUUAAGUGCACGGUAAUUUACAGACGUUUACGGCGAUAUAUGAUUGGCCGUUUGCGGAAAUGUAACUGCUCGGCACAGGACGAUACGUGGAUUUACCGGUGAGUGCGUCAACAUUUCCGUCUGUGUCUGGGGGUUUAUCGCGUUAGUGAGCGGACUGGAAAACUGCCACACACAAAAGAGUCCGUUUCUGUCCGUGUCAAGAAAUCAGAAACGCCAGGGCACAUACACUGAAACCGACGAAAAUGUGCCGUUUACGGGUUUGUGCGCUGACGUGAACAGUCCAGAAACACGCAUUUUCAUGCAGUGCCAUGUGAUCAGGAAUUUCAUGUGAAAAGCUGCUGGGUUUGAAAGCAAUUUCUGUGUGAGCUGUGCUUCAUAUAUUUCUACACUAUUGGCAACAUACAAUGGAUCUUUUUUGAUUGUGGAAUUUCAGUCAUGUUAAAUCAUAUGGCUGUCUUUACUGUAAAGCAGAUAUUGCUUUUCAAUCCAGGACCAAAUGGAAGGAGGGGUUUAUCAAACACACUCAAUACGUCUCUUCUCAAAGUAACUACAGAAAGUGUAGUCCUUCUGUAUCACACAAAUACCAAUGGAGAAGUGAGCAGGGCUGGGCUUGCACUUGCUUGUACUGACAAUGGUUGUAAAGGUCUGGAGGAGGACGGACUAUUGAUCACUAU